AGUGCGUGCAAGCUUUCCGACCAGAACUGGGCCGACAGGCUUUCACGACCACGAAUGUCUCUAUUGGGUAAACCACUGAACUAUAAUCGUGGCGCACGACGUGAUGCCCGUUAUAGGAGGCUACAGAGUCGCAUAUAUAAUUUUUUGGAACGUCCCAGAGGAAUUCCGGCCAUUUUAUAUCACGUUAUAGUAUUUUUCAUGGUGUUCACAUGCUUGGCCUUAAGUGUAUUUUCCACAAUAGAAGGAUAUGAAAAAGAAGCGAUAAUAAUAUUAAUCAGAAUGGAGAUUUUAGUCGUAAUUUGGUUUACUAUAGAAUUCGCAUUAAGAUUAUGGUCAUCAGGAUGUCGAUCCCGAUACCAAGGAGGUGUAGGAAGAUUAAAAUUCCUAAGGCGGCCUUUCUGUAUUAUAGACGUCAUAACAAUCGCAGCUUCGUUAAUAGUAAUAGCUAUGGGAACAUCCGGUCAAGUUUUUACAGCACUACGUGGUCUUCGAUUUUUCCAAAUUUUACGUAUGGUACGAAUGGAUCGACGAGGCGGCACCUGGAAACUGUUAGGGAGUGUCGUCUACGCUCACAGACAGGAAUUAAUAACAACACUGUACAUUGGAUUCCUUGGCCUUAUAUUUGCGUCUUUUCUAGUUUAUCUAAUGGAGAAAGAUGUAAACAAGAAGUUUAAUAAUUUUGCUCAAGCCUUAUGGUGGGGUGUGAUUACAUUAUGCACAGUGGGUUACGGCGAUAUGGUGCCUGAAACGUGGCAAGGAAAAAUUAUAGCAUCAUUUUGUGCUUUAUUAGGAAUAUCGUUUUUUGCGCUGCCAGCGGGAAUACUAGGCAGUGGUUUUGCCUUGAAAGUACAACAACAACAACGCCAAAAGCAUAUGAUACGAAGAAGACAGCCAGCUGCAACAUUAAUUCAGUCCCUGUGGAGAUGCUAUGCAGCCGACGAGCAUUCGGUGUCGGUAGCUACGUGGAAAAUACAUCAAGUUCCGUUACCCAGUCCACCGCCAUCUUCAGAGUACUGGGAUAGAUUGGUUAAGAAUUUAUGUGAAUAUAGAAUCAUUAACUACUCAAACCAUGUCAUAAAAUCACUCACCAGGCGGGCAUCUUCUAGUUUCAAACACAACGCAUCGUUCGUGGCCCGAUUACCAACAAUACGACGGCACAAGAGCCAAUCACUGCAUUCGCCCGGCAAUCCGAAACCACCGGCUGGAUCGGCUCGAGGACGAGUGCAUCGAAUAAAUGACAUGAACACAUCGGCAGAGAAUUUGGAUGGCUUCGAAUUUAGUACACAAAGUGUAAAUGAUAUACCGAACAAUUAUGCGUCGGCAGCAACCGAUCUCAACAAUCACAUCUAUGGCAGUGAAGCAUCAGAAAAUCAGUCAAAUAAACAACUUCAACAGCCACAACCGCAAUCCGGAAGUGCACAUAACAAUUUAGCUUUAAUUAAAAUUGGGGAAGCUACCGCAUUGCCCGUUAUGUUAUGUGGCCUGCUGCAAAAAGAACUAUUCUAUCAGCAAACACAAAUCAAUCAGCAGAAAGAAUACAUGGCACUGUCGCAAAAUAAUUCUGAUUAUUUUAAAAAUCAUCGAAAUAGUUUCUGCAAUGAAGACGACGAGCCACGAUGUGUUCAAUUAACCAAUCAACAUAAAACAGCCAUUCGUUUCAUUAGAAAGAUGAAGUAUUUUGUAGCAAGGCGUAAAUUUAAGGAGGCCUUAAAACCCUACGAUGUUAAAGAUGUGAUGGAACAAUAUGCGGCUGGUCACGUUGACCUACUGGGCCGAGUUAAAAAUGUUCAAACUAGGUUAGAUCAGAUUCUUGGUAAACAAGGUUCGAAAGCAAAAGACGUGUACGCAUCAAAAAUUAGUUUAGCAUCGCGAGUUGUGAAAGUUGAACGUUCUGUAGCUGAUAUAGAGGAAAAAUUAGAUAUUUUAAUUAAAGCUUAUAUGCAAGAUCGUGAGCGAUUUCUAGCACUUCCACAAGUUCCUGAUACCCAACAUUCCAUAACUCCUAAGAAUCCGCCAAAUCCACCUCCAGGUGGUGCUAGUGGUACCGGCGGCAUUUUAACUUCCUCACUUACAACCGGCAGUGGAACGUUAAAGCCGAAACCAAUUUUAGUAGAUAAACAAUUUUCGGAACCCAAUUCACCGAUCACGAAAACAUUUGAUCAAACUGUACAAAGACGUCCACCGAUGCAUCGUGGAUUUUCAGAUUUAGGCAAUAGGAUAAAGAAACGCGUUACUUUAAGCUCCAUCCCACCACAAUAUGUGGGUUCCAAUCAAACGUAUCAUCACGAUGGCAGUGGUGAUGUUGUGAUUGUUGUGCCAGCCAUCGACGGUUCGCAGAACAUGGAAGAAAUCAUUGUUAGUAGUUUGCCAGAGCACUCAAUAUGCAUCGAAACGGAAGCCGAUAUUGAACCAACCAGUCCGAAAACUAUGACGGAAAGUUCAACAGCAUCAUAUGAUGGCUACUCAUCUUCAACGUCGCUAUAACAUCAAAGAGAUAAUCAAUGCAGUCAAACAAAUAAUUUAAUUUGGGACGAUGAGAAUCUGUUUACUUUUUACAAUAAUCGGUACAUUUCGGCGGUGAUUUGAUUUAGAUAAAUGUUCGUAGAUGCGUACAAUACAGGCAACAGCAAAAAGGUUAUCGAGAUAAAUCCUUUGUUCCCAAAUUGAGUUUUUUGAUGGCCUCAUUGAUGUUUUUACACCACACUAAUAUUCGUCCUCCAUAUUGUAAUAAUGGAUGAGGAAGUGGAAGAAGAUAUUGAAGAAGAAGAUUUGGAUUGUGAGGGUGAAAUGGAUCCAGAAUCGCCGCCAUGGGACGAUUACGGUGAUGAGGAUAUUGAGGAUGGCGAUAUCGAUGAUACGACUGAAGAUACAGCAUUACUUCGAGCAUCAGCUGCCAAAACGGAAAUCGUCAUUACACCGAUGAGUCCGGUUAAUUCAUCGGUGAACCUAACCCGAUUGGAUAGCGAUGGUAAAAGUGGCAAUAAUAACACUAACAACGGUAACAAAAAAUCGAUGGAUUUACUAACACCUGAAAUGACGCCUGAAGGAAUAUGAGAUUGGGUUUAUAAUUCAAUUCCAUGUAUAUUUGACGAUAUUUCAAUUACUCAACCAAUCGUAUUAUUAAAGUAAUCUUAUCGGAAAAUAAAAACUUAGAAAUCUUUUUAAGCGAAUUGAAAGAAGUAAAGAAACAAAAGAAACUAAAGAAAAAUCGACAUAAAUUAGAGCAACAAAUUUAAACAAAAUUAGAAUUCUCAACUCGACAAAUUAUAUUUAAAAUGUAAAAAAAAGAAGAUUUAAAUAUAAAAAGAGAAACCACACAUUAAGAUACAGACUGAUAUUAAAAUAAAAUUAAUUUAAAAAAUGAAAAGCUAUUAUAUGCAUUAUAGUUGUUAUUGGAACAAACUUUUAGAAUUUUCCGCUUCGAUUGAGGUUUCACGUAAUAAAACAACCGACACAUACAUUACACAACUGAAAAUAUUUAGAAUUUUAUCUUGCCUACAAUAUUUACCAUUUUAACUUCGACCUAGUCUGCAAAUGGUAAAUUUUAAUUAUACUAAACACAGCGACAACACGACAAAACAUAUUUUAAGGCUAGUACACAUUUCGUGAUAAUACCUGAAAAUGCUCGAAAUCCAUCGGUCCACAAAAAUACCACUGAAAUCGUACUGUUGAUGUACGUUAUCUGAAUUUUAUAGAUAAUUAUUGAACUCAUAAGUCGAACGUACUUACCACUCGAAAACAUGGAUAAGCAGACACCAUCGGUUCGAGUUCAAAGGAUUUGUGUUUGGCCAAACUCAGAUCGGGUUUCAAAAAUUGACUCAUCACUUAAACCACUUAAAAAGAAAUAUUUUUCUUUUACUUUUUGAAACGAAACAUUACAUACACACCUAAUGGCUCAGAUGUUACGGGAUGACCCUUCACCGAAAAGGACCGGGUUUUGAUGUCUAUGUCAGACGAAAGUCCAUUUUUUUCAAAAUUCUAAAACUCACUCAAUUCUUGUUUGAUGGCAUUAAAACACUGAAAGACUCGUAUUAUACGUAACCAAACUAAGAUGAAUUCGUGUAUAGCCUACAUUUAGGCGAAAUAUCAGCUAUUUGUCUAACUCUCCUCAGGGAGCAUUUGCAUAGUUCGAGAAUUGGUUCGGAAGUCACGUAAAGUCGUUCAUUCAAACUGAACUUGUUUUUGAGAUUGCCCUAACGCCCAAAUGAGCGGAAUGACGAAAGGUCUGCUCUUAGUCGUACAGAUAGAAACUACUAACUUAUAGAGUGUCCUCUAUAAUACUGUGGCUAAAUUUAAUUUUCUUCACUUCGCAAACGUUCAAAUAAAUGUUUUAUGGAUCAACCUUUCGUUGCGAUACAAUUUUUUUUUGUCGUGGAACAUAUAAUCUUUGUGGAUUUUUCAACUUGUGUGCUGAAUUUUGAAUUAUUUUUCAGGUAUAUAAUUCACGAACUCAAUGUUAUAAAAUAUAAAAGUUACUUUUCCGAGACGGCUAUAUCAUCUGUUAUCGAUAGCAAUGACAAAAAAUGAGAGACGCCCUAUUCGGCCAUACAUGACAAAAAAAAAUCUUUGUUAAAUGUAUUGAAAUAGUAGAUUAAGAAUGACAUCGAGGAAAAGAAGUAAAAGACUAGGAUAACUACGCUGAUGGUAUGUUCGCAGUCUCUGGAAAGUUAAAACCUCAAGCAAAAGUUCAAUCUAUAAACUAGUAACUUAGAUCAAAGUGGUUGAAUGAAUUCGAUUCCGUUUAUAAAUAUUUUUUUAUGCACAACAAUGUGGUUCAGAUUUAUGUUUAAUUUGUUGGAAUUUAUUUUCUUCGAUUAUUUUUUGUUGUUAAAAGAGAGGGGAGAAACUCUUUGUUGUUCAAUUAAUUAAAAGAAACAAAAGAAGAAAUUUUAAAUUUAACGAAAUAAAACUUCGAAAGGAAAUUAUGUGAUUUUUUUUAUUGUUAAUGGAUAGUUUCGGGCUCUAUGACAAUAAUCUUACAUUAAGUUGAUACAAAAAUUUAAAGGAGAAAAAUUAUUU